AUACGGAGGGUGCAAGCGUUAAUCGGAAUUACUGGGCGUAAAGCGUACGUAGGCGGUUCGUUAAGUUAGAUGUGAAAGCCCCGGGCUUAACUUGGGAACUGCGUUUGAAACUGGGUAACUAGAGUUUAGUAGAGGGGAGUGGAAUUUCAGGUGUAGCGGUGAAAUGCGUAGAGAUCUGAAGGAACACCAGUGGCGAAGGCGACUCCCUGGACUAAAACUGACGCUGAGGUACGAAAGCGUGGGUAGCAAACAGGAUUAGAAACCCCGGUAGUCC
rnacentral:rRNA from 1 species